AGACUAAUUUUACUCUCUCU
rnacentral:snRNA from 1 species